UACAGAGGGUGCAAACGUUGUUCGGAAUUACUGGGCGUAAAGCGCGUGUAGGCGGGACGGCAAGUCUGGCGUGAAAGGCUCGGGCUCAACCCGAGAUGGCCGCUGGAAACUGCCGUUCUUGAGGGUCGAAGAGGAGAGUGGAAUUCCUGGUGUAGCGGUGAAAUGCGUAGAGAUCAGGAGGAACACCGAUGGCGAAGGCAGGUCUCUGGGCCGAAUUAACUGACGCUGAGGAGCGGAAAGCAUGGGGGAGCGAACGGG
rnacentral:rRNA from 1 species